rnacentral:rRNA from 1 species
AGCGAACGCUGGCGGCAGGCCUAACACAUGCAAGUCGAACGAACCUUUCGGGGUUAGUGGCGGACGGGUGAGUAACACGUGGGAACGUGCCUUUAGGUUCGGAAUAACUCAGGGAAACUUGUGCUAAUACCGAAUGUGCCCUUCGGGGGAAAGAUUUAUCGCCUUUAGAGCGGCCCGCGUCUGAUUAGCUAGUUGGUUGAGGUAAUGGCUCACCAAGGCGACGAUCAGUAGCUGGUCUGAGAGGAUGAUCAGCCACAUUGGGACUGAGACACGGCCCAAACUCCUACGGGAGGCAGCAGUGGGGAAUCUUGCGCAAUGGGCGAGAGCCUGACGCAGCCAUGCCGGGUGAAUGAUGAAGGUCUUAGGAUUGUAAAAUUCUUUCACCGGGGACGAUAAUGACGGUACCCGGAGAAGAAGCCCCGGCUAACUUCGUG